CCGAAGUUUCCCUCAGGAUAGCAGUGUUGUUCUUCAGUUUUAUGAGGUAAAGCGAAUGAUUAGGGACUCGGGGGCGCUUAUUAGCCUUCAUCCAUUCUCAAACUUUAAAUAUGUAAGAAGCCCUUGUUACUUAAUUGAACGUGGGCAUUCGAAUGUACCAACACUAGUGGGCCAUUUUUGGUAAGCAGAACUGGCGAUGCGGGAUGAACCGAACGCGGGGUUAAGGUGCCAGAGUGGACGCUCAUCAGACACCACAAAAGGCGUUAGUACAUCUUGACAGCAGGACGGUGGCCAUGGAA
rnacentral:rRNA from 13 species